UGGCUCAGUUGGUAGAGCAUGGUGCUUGCAAUGCUAGGGUGGUGGGUUUGAUUCCCAU
rnacentral:tRNA from 1 species